CAGCGCCACGAGUGGGAACCACAUUUAUUUGGCCUAAAGCGUCCGUAGCUGGCGUUGUAAAUCCUUUGUGAAAUCGUUGGGCUUAACCUAACGGCGUGCAGAGGACACUGCAAUGCUUGAGACCGGGAGGAGUCAGAGGUAUUCCUGGGGGAGCGGUAAAAUGCUAUAAUCCCAGGAGGACCGCCAGUGGCGAAGGCGUCUGACUAGAACGGAUCUGACAGUGAGGGACGAAAGCCAGGGGAGCGAACCGGAUUAGAUACCCCAGUAGUCC
rnacentral:rRNA from 1 species